rnacentral:rRNA from 1 species
CCUACGGGAGGCAGCAGUGAGGAAUAUUGGUCAAUGGCCGGAAUGCUGAACCAGCCAUGCCGCGUGAAGGUCAGUGCCCUAUGGGCGUUAAACUUCUUUUGUGCGGGAGCAAUAAUGGUCACGUGUGGCCAGACGAGAGUACCGUACGAAUAAGCAUCGGCUAACUCCGUGCCAGCAGCCGCGGUAAUACGGGGGAUGCAAGCGUUGUCCGGAAUUAAUGGGUUUAAAGGGUUCGUAGGCUGUGAGGUAAGUCAGCGGGGAAAUGCCCCCGGUCAACGGGGUGAAGUGCCAUUGAUACUGCCGUGCUGGAAUGCGGAUGCCGUGGGAGGAAUGUGUGGUGUAGCGGUGAAAUGCAUAGAUAUCACACAGAACACCGAUUGCGAAGGCAUCUCACGAAGCCGCGAUUGACGCUGAUGCACGAAAGCGUGGGUAUCAAACAGGAUUAGAUACCCUAGUAGUC